GGUUGUAAACCUCUUUCAGUAGGGAAGAAGCGAAAGUGACGGUACCUGCAGAAGAAGCACCGGCUAACUACGUGCCAGCAGCCGCGGUAAUACGUAGGGUGCGAGCGUAUCCGGGAAUUAUUGGGCGUAAAGAGCUCGUAGGCGGUUUGUCGCGUCUGUCGUGAAAGUCCGGGGCUUAACCCCGGAUCUGCGGUGGGUACGGGCAGACUAGAGUGCAGUAGGGGAGACUGGAAUUCCUGGUGUAGCGGUGGAAUGCGCAGAUAUCAGGAGGAACACCGAUGGCGAAGGCAGGUCUCUGGGCUGUAACUGACGCUGAGGAGCGAAAGCAUGGGGAGCGAACAGGAUUAGAUACCCUGGUAGUCCAUGCCGUAAACGUUGGGCACUAGGUGUGGGGACCAUUCCACGGUUUCCGCGCCGCAGCUAACGCAUUAAGUGCCCCGCCUGGGGAGUACGGCCGCAAGGCUAAAACUCAAAGGAAUUGACGGGGGCCCGCACAAGCGGCGGAGCAUGCGGAUUAAUUCGAUGCAACGCGAAGAACCUUACCAAGGCUUGACAUGUUCCCGAUCGCCGUAGAGAUACGGUUUCCCCUUUGGGGCGGGUUCACAGGUGGUGCAUGGUUGUCGUCAGCUCGUGUCGUGAGAUGUUGGGUUAAGUCCCGCAACGAGCGCAACCCUCGUUCCAUGUUGCCAGCACGUAAUGGUGGGGACUCAUGGGAGACUGCCGGGGUCAACUCGGAGGAAGGUGAGGACGACGUCAAAUCAUCAUGCCCCUUAUGUCUUGGGCUUCACGCAUGCUACAAUGGCCGGUACAAUGGGUUGCGAUACUGUGAGGUGGAGCUAAUCCCAAAAAGCCGGUCUCAGUUCGGAUUGGGGUCUGCAACUCGACCCCAUGAAGUCGGAGUCGCUAGUAAUCGCAGAUCAGCAACGCUGCGGUGAAUACGUUCCCGGGCCUUGUACACACCGCCCGGCAAGUCACGAAAGUUGGUAACACCCGAAGCCGG
rnacentral:rRNA from 1 species